AGGCUAUACGGGGGAUCUUUGUCUUCUUGUGUGUGUGAGUCAGUGAGCGCGUGGUCACGGAGCUUUGAGCGCACUGAGCGUGUGCGCCUGCGCCAUGGCCCGCUUAAUCCAUAACAAAUUAGUACAUCGCCCCGCGAGUUCUAAGACGAUUAACACACUGUUUUCUAACAUUACACGGGGCAGAUUGAAAGGCAAAUUUCAUGCCUUUCAGCCUGAGCCCUCGUUUAACCGCCAGCCAGAAUACUUUCCCCUCGCAGAGAAGAGACAGCGGCGAACGGCGGGGUGGGAGAGGCAUGAUAAUGACUCCGCAAAUUAGCGCCGGCGUACACGCGACAAAUUUGAUUGCGCGCAAGAUAAGCAGUUAAUCCCCUUAACAUUGGACAAUACAGUUGCUCUCGGACAGAUAAGGCGCCGGUGUUGGCUCAUAAUUCGAGCGGGCCGGCGUCCGCUCGCCUUGCCCCCCCAUUCCGCCGGCUCUAAUCUCGUAGCGGCAUCUGAAGCUUGCUCGUAGCGGCGGCUGCGCUCUCGCGAUAUCGGAGCGAGCCGGGCAGAUGGCGGUGAACCGGCCUCGACACUUUAUUAAUCCUGACAAGUUCUUCCCCACUAACGGCGCAAAAAAAUAAUAAUCAUAAAAAAAAUAAAAAAAACCGACCGGUCCGCUCCGUGUCCUCUCGCCGCCGCUCAUUCGGCGCUCUCGCAAGGACCACGGCAGACAGUCCCGCACGCGGUGGUGUCAUCUGGCAUCACGGAAGGAUCCAGGGAUUGUGGGCUGAGUCAACUUCUUUACCUUACAACCUUCCGAUUCGAGUUGCUGACCCUACUGGUUGAGCCACCUGGCCGGGGAGCGGUGGCAUAGUGGUUGGCGCACUCCGCCUGCUAUGAAUAGUUCGUUCGAUUCCCGUCUACGGCUAACAUCAGUGGUUUCACGCCAGCGGAGCCCUCCUCGGUCGCCAGCUUUCGCCUCCCUCGACGCCUCUCUCCGCCACCUAUGGAGAGACGCAGGGGCAAAAUCAGGAAGCGAUUAGGAGCGGAGGUGAUUCUGUAAAUACUCUUAGACAGCGCAACAAAGCGCUGUUUGUGGAGAGCUUAUUAGCACGGAGCCAUUAUAACGGCUGUCAUGUUGUCCUUUCUUUGCUCGUUCGCUACCCCCGUUUCGCCUCUUCAAUGUAGGGGGUGGAGGGGGGGGGGGGCACUCGGAGGACCCCGUAUGGCCGCACCGUCUUUGUCUGCGCCUGAUGGGGCGGAGACUUCGAAAGGGUGGGGGGGGGGACG